AUAGCUUCAGUCAUCUGCGC
rnacentral:misc_RNA from 1 species